rnacentral:rRNA from 1 species
CAGCAGCCACGGUAAUACGGAGGGGGCUAGCGUUGUUCGGAAUUACUGGGCGUAAAGCGCACGUAGGCGGCUUGGUAAGUUAGAGGUGAAAGCCUGGAGCUCAACUCCAGAAUUGCCUUUAAGACUGCCGAGCUAGCAGGUGAGAGAGGUAAGUGGAAUUCCGAGUGUAGAGGUGAAAUUCGUAGAUAUUCGGAAGAACACCAGUGGCGAAGGCGACUGACUGGACAAGUAUUGACGCUGAGGUGUGAAAGCGUGGGGAGCAAACAGGAUUAGAUACCCGCGUAGUCCCUGUCUCUUAUAC